CCUACGGGAGGCAGCAGUAGGGAAUAUUGCUCAAUGGGGGAAACCCUGAAGCAGCAACGCCGCGUGGAGGAUGAAGGUUUUCGGAUUGUAAACUCCUUUUGUUAGAGAAGAUAAUGACGGUAUCUAACGAAUAAGCACCGGCUAACUCCGUGCCAGCAGCCGCGGUAAUACGGAGGGUGCAAGCGUUACACGGAAUCACUGGGCGUAAAGGGCGCGUAGGCGGGAUAGCAAGUCAGAUGUGAAAUCCUAGGGCUUAACCAUAGAACUGCAGUUGAAACUGUUAUUCUAGAGUGUGGGAGAGGUAAGUGGAAUUCUUGGUGUAGGGGUAGAAUCCGUAGAGAUCUGGAGGAACAUCAGUGGCGAAGGCGACUAACUGGCACAUAACUGACGCUGAGGAACGAAAGCGUGGGUAGCAAACAGGAUUAGAUACCCUGGUAGUC
rnacentral:rRNA from 1 species